rnacentral:rRNA from 1 species
AACGGCGAGUGAAGCGGGCAAAAAGCUCAAAUUUGAAAUCUGGCUCCUUUGGGGCCCGAGUUGUAAUUUGCAGAGGAUGCUCGGGGCGUGGCCGCGGUCUAAGUCCCCUGGAACGGGGCGUCGCAGAGGGUGAGAAUCCCGUCUUCGGCCGGCCGGCUUCGCCCAUGUGAAGCUCCUUCGACGAGUCGAGUUGUUUGGGAAUGCAGCUCUAAAUGGGUGGUAAAUUUCAUCUAAAGCUAAAUAUUGGUCGGAGACCGAUAGCGCACAAGUAGAGUGAUCGAAAGAUGAAAAGCACUUUGAAAAGAGAGUUAAACAGCAUGUGAAAUUGUUGAAAGGGAAGCGCUUGCGACCAGAGUCGGCCGUGGGGGUUCAGCGGGCAUUCGUUGCCCGUGCACUCCCCCACGGGCGGGCCAGCGUCGGUUUCGACGGCCGGUCAAAGGCCCCCGGAAUGUGUCGCCUCUCGGGGCGUCUUAUAGCCGGGGGUGCAAUGCGGCCAGUCGGGACCGAGGAACGCGCUUCGGCACGGACGCUGGCUUAAUGGUCGUAAGCGACCCGUCUUGAAACACGGACCAAGGAGUCUAACAUCCACGCGAGUGUUCGGGUGUCAAACCCGUCCGCGCAGUGAAAGCGAACGGAGGUGGGAACCCUUAAGGGUGCACCAUCGACCGAUCCUGAAGUCUUCGGAUGGAUUUGAGUAAGAGCGUGGCUGUUGGGACCCGAAAGAUGGUGAACUAUGCCUGAAUAGGGUGAAGCCAGAGGAAACUCUGGUGGAGGCUCGCAGCGGUUCUGACGUGCAAAUCGAUCGUCGAAUUU